UGUUUUUUCCCCCACUGAUUGAAUACUUGCAUAGUUUUGUUGAUUGAAUGAAGGACUGCAGCAUCUCAGGAAAGAUGUUGUAACUGAACUCUGGUGUGUCAGGUAUCAGGCCCAAAACGUACUGUGGAGAAAAGGGAAAAGUUUGAUGGUUUGAUGACUACUAUACAGUGUUUCAGUUACUGGAUGGUCUCUUCCUGGAAGAAUAGAUGGAACACAAAUCGAUGGAGUCUGGUAUCACUGAUUUAAGGAGAAGCUGGGGCAGAUGUUGACCUGAGAUCUGGAGCACACCUUCCCAGUGGGGGUACCAGGAUAGAAGACCUCCCAUCAUCACUUUUACUCCUGAGGGACGAGGGGCAGACCUGUACUGUGGUCACAAGUGCAGAAGAAGUUCGUGUAGAUGUUCCUGAGCUUCAGAAAUACACACUCGACCUUCAAGAGUUGCUGCCAAUUUGUCCAGUGUUCACACAGUGUGUAGCACAGGCCUCCUGCUAUGCCUCGUGAGUGCUGCUGCAGUACAGCCACCUUUCCUUUUGUCUGGGCACCUUUAUCAGUACAGCUGAAGGGAACACUGUGUGGACUGUGAAUUCCUCUCCAAGAUCAUGUAAAUUCUUGGACGGUACAUGCUGUUGCACUUAGUAUUAAUCUAACUAGCUAAAGCUGGUUUGCAUACAUCUGCAGCUACAGCAGAAGUUUAAUGAUAAAUAUUCCCAAAUGUAGCCAUGCAAAUAGUGGCAAAUAUUGAAUAAAUGCAUGAAAUGCAUUUAGUAAGUAAAAAAAUCUUCUGUUUUUCCGUCAAGAAAAAAACAAAGGAUGAUUUUUCCUUUAUUGCACAGGCCAGGUUUUCUUAUGAGUAUAAAGGGAUCAUAAAACCUAUGGUAAAUAUUUGAGGAUUAUUUUACUAUGGUCUGUAUUAAGCUACUGAUACCCUUCUAUCCUACCCUCUGGAUCAGGGGGGUAGAGUGGUUGCUCCAUAUUAUGCCCAUACAUAAGUGAUUACUGGUUGGCAAAUAGCCACAAUAACAGAGGACAUUAUGUAAAAAAUUAAUAGACAAAACCACCCAAACAGAUGAACAAACAAACUCACAUGCUCUUCACCACAGUGCAAAAGGUCCUAAAAGCUGGAAUUGCAAAUGGUAGCAAUCCCAGCCAUGUAUAAAUCCCAAAAAGGGAGAGACGUUCUUGGAAAUGGUGCCACCCCUAAAGAGAGAGCAUAGAGGCUACUCUUAUUUGAAGGAUAAGAUCAUCUCCCCUUGGUAGUGGUGUUACUUGUACCUAAAAUAAUUCAUCUUUGACUUAAAAUCCUACAGAAUUCUUCUGCCUGGUCCAAAGGGGACAACUGCUGUUCUCGAGGUCAGCUCUGGAGGGGUUCACCAGGCUCUGUUCCCCUAUAACUGUCUACCUCCAUGAAUGGUUAUGGAAUGAUCUUUUUAUGGCUCCGAGAAGGUGCCAGGAGAGAGGGAGAGGGGCAAUUCUGAGGGCUGGAGUUUGGCUGCAUGAGUCUGCUUCAGCUGCCAUGCCAUCUCCAGGAGAGAGAGAUGAAAAUAAGUACCUACCCAAAGAAAUGGGAGAAAAGAGCAUCCCUGGGCUUAUAACCAAACAGAGUGUAUAUAAUUUACUACACUCCCUCAAAGUGGCAAUGUUUUAUUUCUUACCAUGCCAGACUGGUGCAGCCCAAGCAAACCAAGUGUUUAACUGUGGGUGACUAACUACAGGUGUAAUGAAUUAAAAGACAUGUGGCUAAGCCAAGUGCAAGCUUUUCAAAGUGUGAGCAUCUUCUUAAAAAUGAGGUUUAGCAAAUGAACAAAAUGCUCCCAGAACUGCUGAAUUUGUCUUCUUAGCAUUUUAGUUACUGUUUGACCUGACCAUUUCAAAUAACCACUCAAAAGAAAUGGACAUAUUCAGGAGGGCAGAUACCCUGUAUUUCUAAGGCAAAAUAUUUCUAUAAAAUAACACAGUGAUUGCUUAUAGCUAUCCAAAAAGAUAUUGUGCUGAGCUGUCAUAUUUUGUGUUGCAGCCUUUUCAUACUGUUGAAAUAUCAACACUAUAUGUACUGCAUGUGUAUAGUUAACUCUUGGUUUCCUGGUAUAAGAUGGGUAGGAAACCUGUAUAAUGUAUUAACAUGACCAUAAAUACACCCCCCCCCCCCAAAAAAAAAAUCCAUAAUAAAUAAGGGUAAGGAUAGAUAAUACAGUCUUGAAGAGUAACUAAUAAGCCAAAUUAAUGGCAUGUCCGGAACUAUAUGUGUAUUUUAAAUUAUACUGAUUUUUUUGGUUGAAGCUGGAAAACAGGAAGACAAUGAGACUAAGAGAAAAUGUAAGUUGCAUAAACAUUUGACACUGUAAACUAUAUUUUGUUGAAUACUUGUAGUGAAAAAUAGGGGUUUCUGGAGAUAAUUGGAUGCUUUCUUUAAUAAUAACUGUCCUUACUCUAAAUUUUGAUGAUUAUUUACCAAUUUAUUGUUUAUUUUUUUUUCUAUUCAGAAACAACUAGACUAAUUUCAGCAAGAGAAAAAACCUAGCAUAAAGGACAGGCUAGUAACCAUCAUGGAGGAUAUGAAUAAUCAGAAGUAUUUGCAUUAUACAAAUAUGUUGCUUACAGACACUAAAAAAGGUGUUAACACAACACAUCCUGAAAUACUAUUGAGAAAUUAUUGAGUAUAUUUGUACAUAGUUCUAUGUACAAUUCUCUUCUGUCAUUUAUUCAUUCAUUCAUUCCCAUUUAUUGCAGUUCAUGUAGUGUGUGAUAGGCCUUUGACACAGAUCUAUAACCAUCGAGAUUUGUGACACUGAGAAGAAUACAAUGAGAGCCCCCCAGAUCCCAUCCUCUGAAGCAAAAUAUCCCUGUGAAUCACAGGUAUUGUGUUACCAGACAGCACAGCAAAAAAUUAACCAGAGCAAAACACUCGACUUGAUGCUGUUACAGCUAAUAGGACUGAAAUGAAAGAUAAUUGCAUAUUAAAAUAGAGUGGGUAGCUCUGUUUUGAUAUAGAGAUAUAAAGAUGUCAGGCAAGCUAGGCUGCAGCAGCAGGCGAUGGGUGCCCUGAAGUGAUUGAGGAGUGAAGCCCAAGACAGCAUUCCUCACAUUCCUGUGGCACUCCUCCUAUACAUAUGCCCCACAAAAAAAGGGAAUUCCAGCACUCCGGAUUGGUGAGCUGAGCUUCAGAAAAGCUGGCACUUUUCUAUAGCUGCAGGCUUGAUUAAUUUGAAGGAAUUAUUAUCAUCUCUGGAAGAUGAACACGAGGCAUAUUUAAACUGUUAUUUUUUAGGGCAAAGGACGUGACAUUUCCAAUCUGUUACAAAAAAAAAAAAGAAAAAAGAAAAAAAGAAAAAAGAAUCUCCCAUCAGGAUUUCUAGUAAGCACCAAUAAGCAAGAUGUAGAGAAUGUGGAACACUCCCUAGUAUUUUCCCAAGAUCUGCCCAGAAUAAUUGGUAUAACUGCAAAAAUAUUUUGCUGACACAUAUGAGUGGGAUUAGCCCAAAGAGCUAUCUUUGUUAAUGAGCCAUAUCUAGAAAUUCAGUAGGUUUAGUAGAUUACUAUCUGAAGACACAGCAUUUUUGAGAGCCACUUAUGUCUAAAAGUGUAACAUUUUUUUCUCCUGGGACUAGCAGUGUAUGUUCAGUAAGGAAAUGAUGGUUAUCCCUGGGAAUUUUCACAAAUAAAAAAAAAAAUCAAAUAAAGAUGACAGUACCUUACUUGGAAUUGAAAU